ensembl:lncRNA
AUAGAAAGACACCAUCUGCAUAGCCAGCAGUAUUACUAUGUAGACCUUGCACAUCUUACUUUUAUUUUGCUUUGUUUAAAAAAUUCCUUAAUUUGUUUAUUUCUCUUCAGAAAUGUAUGUGCUUUUUAAAAAAUAUUGUGGUUGAGAACCCUGUGGAAUUUUUACUGUUGUUAUUUUGUUUGUCAUAAAUAAGCUAAAAUAGAUAUGUUGCAGGUUAACCAUAUCUGUGGAGAUAUGCAACUGGAAGUCAGAGCCUGACAUGACACAGUUUUGCCAAAGAGAGAGCUAAACUGGAAGAUGUGUUUGAUAUUUUCAGCUGUAAAUGUUAAUGGGUGUUUGCACAGAGUGAGAAAUAGUGUUCAGAUUUGGUUAAUAGUUCAUAUGUAUAAUUGUGGCCUCUGACUGAAUGAAACUCUUAACGUCACUGUGCAGUAGACGUCGCCCUUGUUUUUCUGUCUUCAAAUUCGUCCAUUCAAAAUCUUAGUCAUUGCUUUUUAAGAUUAUUUUAGCAUUUGAGGCAAAUGGAAACCAGUGAGAACUAACAUAGUAUAGGUGAGCUUUUUAUCUCUAAUUCACCAAAUUAUAUCUAAUAAUAAUUCAAGCAAAGAAAAUAUGUCACCAAAAUAUAUUAAAUAUUUGGGUAGUUUAUUAGGUAGUGUGAAGAUGAAGUUUUUGUCCUCCUGUUAGGUCUACCCUUAAUAAAUUAGUAAAUUAAUGACUUGAAAUCUGGACAUUUCCAUCAAUAUUAAACUCAUUUGUUUCUCUCAUAGCCAAGAAGAACUAGUUAGAAAUUCCAAUAUAAUUUAAAUUUAAGCUAGUUUGUGAUAGGAUAAGCAUAAUGAUUGGCAUAUGAUACAGCCUGGUAUAGUAGUGUAUAAUACCAACCAAAACACCAUUUGAGGCGCAUCUCAUUUUUAUCAGUUACGUUGAACAUGGAAGCUUAUUUUUCACAUGGGGGUAGCAUGACAGCUUUUGAAAUAGAACUAUGAAAGUAACUGCGUAACGACCUUCCAGAGUACUGUUUUUGGCUUCGUGCCCCUUCUGUGUUUGGGCGCUGCUUAUUUUCAGAGGUAUUAUUUUUACUGUAACCUCCAAACUGUAGGAAUUGAAAGAACUGAUCAAACACACCUUCCUAAUCUCUUUUCUUCACUAUGUAAAUAUUAUUUGUGUAAACAUUACAAAAAGGGAUCCAGACAAUUUGAGUAUUUUUUUUUUCUCCCUAGGCAUGUGCUUCAAUGACAAAUUUGUUUUCUGUGUGGAAAACGCCAUAUGACUAUUGCACUACCUUCUGUAUGACUGUUUCGGUAUUGGAUCUUUCUGUGUGUCAAGAGUUGGGGUGUCCAUAGCUGCAAAGUUUUUGUAAGUGGCUUUAUUCCUCCUCUAGAAGAUUUAUAAAGGAGCCCAAAGAGCACUAUUGUUGCAGAAGGAAAAAUGUUUACAGUGUCUAGUGUAUACACUCCACACGUUAGUUGAAAGCGGGGCCCUUUAAGAGCAGCCUCGCCUUUCGGUCUCUUGGGAUUCCUAGAAUUUACCUGGCCAAAUGACUUGAGCAGAAGUCUUUUUUUUUUUUUUAGGUUAGAUCUGUAAGCUAUAUGCCUUUACUACUGAAAACAAAGCUAUAGGACAUUGUAUUGAUUGGAAAUCAAUAAUAAUGGUAGAUUUAGUCCAUCAACUGUUUAAAAUAAUAUAUCCUCUAUGGAUUUCCUUCCUGUUUUUGAGGUGCAUUCCUUUAUAACCAGUUUUGAAAUCACCAUGUUAUCUUCUGCAAACAAGGGGUACCAGUGUUGCUUAACGGAAGAUGAUCUUUAAUGAAAGGAAUC